UACGUAGGGUGCGAGCGUUGUCCGGAAUUAUUGGGCGUAAAGAGCUCGUAGGCGGUCUGUCGCGUCAGAUGUGAAAAUCCAGGGCUCAACCCUGGACCUGCAUUCGAUACGGGCAGACUAGAGUUCGGUAGGGGAGACUGGAAUUCCUGGUGUAGCGGUGAAAUGCGCAGAUAUCAGGAGGAACACCGGUGGCGAAGGCGGGUCUCUGGGCCGAUACUGACACUGAGGAGCGAAAGCGUGGGGAGCGAACAGG
rnacentral:rRNA from 1 species